rnacentral:RNase_P_RNA from 1 species
GAGGAAAGUCCGGGCUCCAUAGGGCAGAGUGCCAGGUAACGCCUGGGAGGCGCGAGCCUACGGAAAGUGCCACAGAAAAUAACCGCCUAAGCACUUCGGUGCCGGUAAGGGUGAAAAGGUGCGGUAAGAGCGCACCGCACGUCUGGCAACAGUGCGUGGCUAGGUAAACCCCACUCGGAGCAAGACCAAAUAGGGUUCCAUCAGGCGUGGCCCGCGUCGGAACCGGGUAGGUUGCUAGAGGCGUCCAGUGAUGGCCGUCGUAGAGGAAUGACUGUCCUCGACAAAACCCGGCUUA